rnacentral:rRNA from 1 species
CACGGGGGGAGCAAGCGUUGUUCGGAAUCACUGGGCGUAAAGGGCGUGUAGGCGGUCAGGUAAGUGAGAUGUGAAAUGCCCCGGCUCACCCGGGGACCGGCAUCUCAUACUGCUUGGCUUGAGUACGGGAGAGGAUGUGGGAAUUCCUGGUGUAGCGGUGAAAUGCGUAGAUAUCAGGAGGAACACCGGUGGCGAAGGCGCACAUCUGGCCCGAUACUGACGCUGAGACGCGAAAGCGUGGGGAGCGAACAGG